UACGUAGGGUGCGAGCGUUGUCCGGAAUUCUUGGGCGUAAGAGCUCGUAGGCGGUGUGUCACGUCGGCCGUGAAAACCUGCAGCUUAACUGUGGGCGUGCGGUCGAUACGGGCAUCACUGGAGUUCGGCAGGGGAGACUGGAAUUCCUGGUGUAGCGGUGAAAUGCGCAGAUAUCAGGAGGAACACCGGUGGCGAAGGCGGGUCUCUGGGCCGAUACUGACGCUGAGGAGCGAAAGCGUGGGGAGCAAACAGG
rnacentral:rRNA from 1 species